rnacentral:rRNA from 1 species
UAAAACGUAGGGGACAAGCGUUAUCCGGAUUUACUGGGCGUAAAGCGCAUGUAGGUGGCUUGACAAGUUGGACGUGAAAGCUCCCGGCUUAACUGGGAGAGGUCGUUCAAAACUGGCAGGCUAGAGGAUGGAACAGGAGAGCGGAAUUCCCGGUGUAGUGGUGGAAUGCGUAGAUAUCGGGAGGAACACCAGUGGCGAAAGCGGCUCUCUGGUUCACCCCUGACACUGAGAUGCGAAAGCGUGGGGAGCGAACGGGAUUAGAUACCCCGGUAGUCCACGCUGUAAACGAUGGAUACUAGGUGUAGGCGGUCAUUAACCCCGUCUGUGCCGAAGCCAACGCGUUAAGUAUCCCGCCUGGGGACUACGGCCGCAAGGUU